CCUACGGGUGACAGCAGUAGGGAAUUUUCGGCAAUGGGGGGAACCCUGACCGAGCAACGCCGCGUGAACGAAGAAGUUAUUCGUAAUGUAAAGUUCUUUUAACAGGGAAGAAAGAGAAAUUUGACGGUACCUGAAGAAUAAGCUCCGGCUAACUACGUGCCAGCAGACGUGGUAAUCCGUAGGGAGCGAGCGUAAUCCGGGAUAAUUGGGCGUAAAGGGUGCGUAGAGGGCAUAGUAAGUCUUUUGUAAAAAUGCUGGGCUAAACCCAGUAGGGCAAAAGAUACUGGAAAGCUAGAGUAUGAUAGAGGUAGGUGGAACUACAUGUGUAGCGGUAAAAUGCGUAGAUAUAUGUAAGAACACCAAUGGCGAAGGCAGCUUGCUGGGUCGAUACUGACAUUGAGGCACGAAAGCGUGGGGAGCAAACAGGAUUAGAUACCCCUGUAGUC
rnacentral:rRNA from 1 species